rnacentral:rRNA from 1 species
GUCGAACGGCAGCACGGGUGCUUGCACCUGGUGGCGAGUGGCGAACGGGUGAGUAAUACAUCGGAACGUACCUUAUCGUGGGGGAUAACGCAGCGAAAGCUGUGCUAAUACCGCAUACGCCCUGAGGGGGAAAGCGGGGGAUCGAAAGACCUCGCGCGAUUAGAGCGGCCGAUGCCUGAUUAGCUUGUUGGUGGGGUAAAAGCCCACCAAGGCGACGAUCAGUAGCUGGUCUGAGAGGACGAUCAGCCACACUGGGACUGAGACACGGCCCAGACUCCUACGGGAGGCAGCAGUGGGGAAUUUUGGACAAUGGGGGCAACCCUGAUCCAGCAAUGCCGCGUGAGUGAAGAAGGCCUUCGGGUUGUAAAGCUCUUUUGUCAGGGAAGAAACACCGGCUCUAACACAGUCCGGGAAUGACGGUACCUGAAGAAUAAGCACCGGCUAACUACGUGCCAGCAGCCGCGGUAAUACGUAGGGUGCGAGCGUUAAUCGGAAUUACUGGGCGUAAA